GCCCGUGUUGCUCAGUGGUUAGAGUGUUGACCUAAGCCCGAAAGGGUCACGGGUUUGAUUCUCGGUCAAGGGCA
rnacentral:tRNA from 1 species